CCUACGGGAGGCAGCAGUAGGGAAUCUUCCACAAUGGGCGCAAGCCUGAUGGAGCAACACCGCGUGAGUGAAGAAGGGUUUCGGCUCGUAAAGCUCUGUUGUUGGAGAAGAACGUGCGUGCGAGUAACUGUUCACGCAGUGACGGUAUCUAACCAGCAAGUCACGGCUAACUACGUGCCAGCAGCCGCGGUAAUACGUAGGUGGCAAGCGUUAUCCGGAUUUAUUGGGCGUAAAGCGAGAGCAGGCGGUUGCUUAGGUCUGAUGUGAAAGCCUUUGGCUUAACCGAGAAAGUGCAUCGGAAACCGGGCAACUUGAGUGCAGAAGAGGACAGUGGAACUCCGUGUGUAGCGGUGGAAUGCGUAGAUAUAUGGAAGAACACCAGUGGCGAAGGCGGCUGUCUGGUCUGCAACUGACGCUGAGGCUCGAAAGCAUGGGUAGCGAACAGGAUUAGAUACCCCUGUAGUC
rnacentral:rRNA from 1 species